AUGCUCCCGUCCUCCGGUUCCUCCUGCGUUCGCCACCAUGCGAUCGCCUUCCUCCCUCAGGUUCUUGUACGGAACAUACCACCAGACCCCGAUGAAUCAGAUAGCAAGCCUGUGGAACAUUUCUUCCUUGUCAAUCAUCCUGAUCAUCAUCUGAAACAUCAGGAGUGUAAACUGAUAGUAUUUCCAACUACAAAGUGUUGGCUGCCCAGGAAGAAGGAAAGGUCAGUCCAGACAUGA
rnacentral:rRNA from 1 species